rnacentral:rRNA from 1 species
AACUUUCAACAACGGAUCUCUUGGUUCUGGCAUCGAUGAGGAACGCAGCGAAAUGCGAUAAGUAAUGUGAAUUGCAGAAUUCAGUGAAUCAUCGAAUCUUUGAACGCACAUUGCGCCCUCUGGUAUUCCGGGGGGCAUGCCUGUUCGAGCGUC